rnacentral:rRNA from 1 species
UACAGAGGGGGCAAGCGUUAUUCGGAAUUAUUGGGCGUAAAGGGCUCGUAGGCGGUUUGUCGCGUCGGGAGUGAAAACACCGGGCUUAACUCGGUGCUUGCUUUCGAUACGGGCAGACUGGAGGUAUGCAGGGGAGAACGGAAUUCCUGGUGUAGCGGUGAAAUGCGCAGAUAUCAGGAGGAACACCGGUGGCGAAGGCGGUUCUCUGGGCAUUACCUGACGCUGAGGAGCGAAAGUGUGGGGAGCGAACAGG